UAACCUCUCCCAGUCCUUCCGAGAAGUUGCCUUUAAAUUCUUCUCGCAGCGACCACUCAGCUUGUCUGGCUCCAGCUGUCUGAGGCACCAUGGAGACGCGUUUCAUUCUCCACCUUUGGAUCUUUAACCUACUAGGUGCGGUGCUGGGUGACUCGAUCCGGUCCAAUGAACCCGCGGUGUCCAGAUCACAAGGCGACACCGUGACCCUCAGCUGUUCUUAUGAAACCAGCUACACUUCCGGUGUCUAUCUCUACUGGUACCGCCAGUACCCGAACCGAGCCCCGCAGUACAUCCUCCUGAGAGGAGCAAAAGGAAACACGUUCAGUGAUACUGCAGAUUUUGCCCAGGAGAGGUUUUCUUCGCAGGCGAACGACACCUCCACAGUUCUGAACAUCACAGCCCUGGAGCUGGCAGACACAGCGGUGUAUCUCUGCGCCCUGCGUCUGGCACAGUGACAGAGCCACACAGCAGAGCUGAACAAAAACCUCCCAGCCCUGCUGCAGGGGAUGCCACAGGCCUUAAAACGGGCUGCAGCGCCUUGAAACAGCCUGAGUACUGACGCUGCUUAAAAUACAUCUCCUCCUAACAGUUACAGGUUUCUGUAAAGAGCUAAUUUAAACACAAUCCUUGGAUAAUAUAAUGGGCCUGAUCUUUAAUUAGGAAACUAUUAAUACCUAUUUUCUUAGCUGACGAGAUGAGCUGUUCUGUGUUGCGUGGGGGAAAAGCAUUUGUAGUAAAACAAGGGUUAAAGGUAAGUACAAAUGUAGAUGAAGUGACAUUGUUGAAAAUACAAAUUGAGAUAAAAUGCGAAUGAAAACAUACCUUUACACAUGGACAAUGAAC